GGGCCCGCACAAGCGGUGGAGCAUGUUGUUUAAUUCGAUGCAACGCGAAGAACCUUACCACCCCUUGACAUACUCGGAACUUUCUAGAGAUAGAUUGGUGCCUUCGGGAACCGAGAUACAGGUGCUGCAUGGCUGUCGUCAGCUCGUGUCGUGAGAUGUUGGGUUAAGUCCCGUAACGAGCGCAACCCUUGUCCUUAUUUGCCAGCGAUUCGGUCGGGAACUCUAAGGAGACUGCCGGUGCAAACCGUGAGGAAGGUGGGGAUGACGUCAAAUCAUCACGGCCCUUACGUCCUGGGCUACACACGUGCUACAAUGGCCGGUACAGAGAGCAGCCACUACGCGAGUAGGCGCG
rnacentral:rRNA from 1 species